ACUGCUGAAGAGAAAAGGAAGAAGGGUCUCACAACAGCCAGAAGCAACUGAAGUUUUGUUUCAAGUUAAGUUUAGUUCCCAGAAAGAAAAAAAAUAAAUUUAAAGUCAGUUAGCUAGCAUACAAAAUCACUUUAGCUAAGCCUCCAACAGGAAAUGUUGGAGGAUAUCAUCAGUCUGUGCUGCAGAUGCAAUUGAAAGUGUGGUUGUUAUUGUUGUUUUGUUUGUUUUGUUUGUUCGUUAUUUCCAGGUAAAUGUAUUUGUAUUAGCUAAUUCUUGCUCUAGAAAAUGUUAUUAUUAGUUUUAGUUAUAAUUUUAGUUAUUAAGUGAAAAUAAAGCCUUAUUUGUGUAUGUUUAUAUAUGAAUUCACAUUUUCAGUGUCAGAAGAACCUGGUCAGUUCUAGUUUUGAUCAUGAUAGCUCUUAAGAAAAUGCCUGAAAAUGUGACAUCUCACUUUCUGAACCCAUGCACAGCUUUGCCAGCACUGCUUGCUUUGCCAUGCUGUUUACCUGCUGCUGUUGCUCAGCUCUGGCAGUGCUUCUUGCUCUGCAGUAUAUCCCGAUAUUCUGUCUUGGAAUUUCCCUGGGAGAAUGACUCAUAAUGUUAGUGCUAGCAUGGUGUUAUUAUUCUGAGGUUACACAACUGAAGACCCAGAAGGAAAUCAUGACAUUCCCAUUCCAGCUUUUUGAAAAAGUUUUCACAGGUAAUUUGGAAAUUUACAGGCUGCUUUUUCCAGGUGAUACCUCUGCAUAAAUCACCUCACUUGUCAUUUUGAAGAAAUAUCUUCAGAUCUGCAAUCAAAAUGGACUCAUUGAAGGAGACAGUCUUCCACUGCAGAGAGGUGGUUUCUGGCAAGAAAAAAUCAGUUGAAGAUAACACUUGUUACACUUGUUAUCUGACAUCACAGACAAGAUGUUCCAAGGCAGAGUCUUUAUAUCAGCAAAACAGCAUGAGGAAGAGAUUUGUGUUGGUACUUAGGCACUAAAAUGUGCCCUCAGUGUCAGUGUUGCAAACCUAGAUUGACUUUACUAGCGUUCUUCUGGAUUUAUUUAUUGCCGAGUCUAAGGCCUCGGAACUGGGGAAAGGUGAAAAGAGAUUCUGUAUGCACAGAAGCCACUGAUUUUUGAUCCUUGUUUUCCAGACCAUGCAUUAUUAGUUGCACAGAACUGGCAAAAUUAUUUUGUCAGUGGAUUUGUGGAGAGGAUGUAUAGACGUAUAUAUCACUAACAGGACAUUUCAAGGAUUUGGAAGAGAUCUUUGUAUUUUAAUAACACAAAGUAGACACUAGAUGUCUCACCUGCACCAUAAAAAACAUAAAAUGAUAUUCUACCUAAACUAAGAUCCUUAUAUGCUUAUAUAGUUCUUUCUUUCUUUCUUUC